GGAAGAACCAUAGCUCAGUGGCGGGGCAUCUGCUUUGCGUACAGAAGGUCCCAGGUUCAAUCCCCAGCAUCUCCA